rnacentral:rRNA from 1 species
UACGUAGGGUGCGAGCGUUAAUCGGAUUUACUGGGCGUAAAGCGUGCGCAGGCGGCCCGUUAAGACAGGUGUGAAAUCCCUGGGCUCAACCUAGGAAUUGCGCUUGUGACUGGCGGGCUCGAGUACGGUAGAGGGGGGUGGAAUUCCUGGUGUAGCAGUGAAAUGCGUAGAGAUCAGGAGGAAUACCGGUGGCGAAGGCGGCCCCCUGGGCCUGUACUGACGCUCAUGCACGAAAGCGUGGGGAGCAAACAGG